CCAAAGCAAAAAGGAGCCUCGAUGGUGAAAUGUAUCUGGAAGGUCUGGACCGAUCCCACGCGGCUGACCCCAGUCCUUGUCCCGACAGAACACCCCCGCCUUCAUCUGCUGAGUCCAGGCACAGCGCUGCCCUCCACCCGCCGCCCAGCCCUCCGGAGCAGGCCAGACUUUGUCAAAGACAAAUGGAGCUUCAGGACAAAAGUGAAUUUUCAAAUCCGGCCAAGCUACCUCUUAAGGACAAUGAGGAAUUUGAAUCAUCUUUCGAAUAUGCAGGGAGCGCGGCGAGGCAGUUUGAAGCGGAUGGCCUCCAUCCCGCCGGUGACAUGCCUCACGCGGAUGCCGCCGCGGCCGCCAGACCUGUGUCCUGUCACUACCCGAGCGUGGAUCAAAAACAAAUGGGAGAACAGAAGGAAGAAGAAAACAUGUGGGAAGAGCACAUGAGAGCACGCAGGCAGAGAGAAGAGAGAAGGCAGAGUGAGCGGCAAGAAGCUUUAGAAAGGGAACGAAGAGAACUAGAAAAACUGGAUCAAGAGCGGAGGAUGAUUGAAGAGUCCUUGGAGAUUGAAAUGGAAAAAGAAAUCAGUGUUGAGGAAAUGAAAGGUCAGUCCGUUUGUGGUGAAAAUCCUUUGGAGAAAUACAUGAAGAUUAUUCAGCACAAAUUUGCUUCUUCAUCCACAAAGCCUAAAGUAGUUACUAUCUGGCUUUCUUCUACAAAUAGACAAGUUUGCAAACCCCUGUUCCACCAACAGAAACAAAGGAUUUGA